GCCCGUUUAGCUCAGUUGGUAGAGCGCCAUCUUUGUAAGUUGGAUGUCACUGGUUCAAAUCCGGUAACGGGCUCCA
rnacentral:tRNA from 1 species